rnacentral:tRNA from 2 species
GCCGGCAUAGCUCAGUUGGUAGAGCAACUGAUUUGUAAUCAGUAGGUCGUUGGUUCAAAUCCGACUGUCGGCUCCA